CUGUUGCCACUAACCUCAACC
rnacentral:ncRNA from 5 species